rnacentral:rRNA from 1 species
CCUACGGGUGGCAGCAGUGAGGAAUAUUGGACAAUGGACGAGAGUCUGAACCAGCCAAGUAGCGUGAAGGAUGACUGCCCUAUGGGUUGUAAACUUCUUUUAUAUGGGAAUAAAAUGUUCCACGUGUGGGAUUUUGUAUGUACCAUAUGAAUAAGGAUCGGCUAACUCCGUGCCAGCAGCCGCGGUAAUACGGCGGAUCCGAGCGUUAUCCGGCUUUAUUGGGUUUAAAGGGAGCGUAGGUGGAUUGUUAAGUCAGUUGUGAAAGUUUGCGGCUCAACCGUAAAAUUGCAGUUGAAACUGGCAGUCUUGAGUACAGUAGAGGUGGGCGGAAUUCGUGGUGUAGCGGUGAAAUGCUUAGAUAUCACGAAGAACUCCGAUUGCGAAGGCAGUUCACUGGACUGCAACUGACACUGAGGCUCGAAAGUGUGGGUAUCAAACAGGAUUAGAUACCCCUGUAGUC